rnacentral:rRNA from 1 species
GGUUAAGCGACUAAGCGUACACGGUGGAUGCCCUGGCAGUCAGAGGCGAUGAAGGACGUGCUAAUCUGCGAAAAGCGACGGCGAGGUGAUAUGAACCUUUGACCCGUCGAUGUCCGAAUGGGGAAACCCAGUGUGUUUCGACACACUAUCGUUAACUGAAUACAUAGGUUAACGAGGCGAACCGGGGGAACUGAAACAUCUAAGUACCCCGAGGAAAAGAAAUCAACCGAGAUUCCCCCAGUAGCGGCGAGCGAACGGGGAGCAGCCCGGAGUCUGAAUCAGCUUGUGUGUUAGUGGAAGCGUCUGGAAAGUCGCACGGUACAGGGUGACAGUCCCGUACACGAAAAUGCACAGGUUGUGAACUCGAAGAGUAGGGCGGGACACGUGGUAUCCUGUCUGAAUAUGGGGGGACCAUCCUCCAAGGCUAAAUACUCCUGACUGACCGAUAGUGAACCAGUACCGUGAGGGAAAGGCGAAAAGAACCCCGGCGAGGGGAGUGAAAAAGAACCUGAAACCGUGUACGUACAAGCAGUGGGAGCACCUUCGGGUGUGACUGCGUACCUUUUGUAUAAUGGGUCAGCGACUUAUAUUCUGUAGCAAGGUUAACCGUAUAGGGGAGCCGCAGGGAAACCGAGUCUUAACUGGGCGUUAAGUUGCAGGGUAUAGACCCGAAACCCGGUGAUCUAGCCAUGGGCAGGUUGAAGGUUGGGUAACACUAACUGGAGGACCGAACCGACUAAUGUUGAAAAAUUAGCGGAUGACCUGUGGCUGGGGGUGAAAGGCCAAUCAAACCGGGAGAUAGCUGGUUCUCCCCGAAAGCUAUUUAGGUAGCGCCUCGUGAACUCAUCUUCGGGGGUAGAGCACUGUUUCGGCUAGGGGGCCAUCCCGGCUUACCAACCCGAUGCAAACUACGAAUACCGAAGAAUGUUAUCACGGGAGACACACGGCGGGUGCUAACGUCCGUCGUGAAGAGGGAAACAACCCAGACCGCCAGCUAAGGUCCCAAAGUCAUGGUUAAGUGGGAAACGAUGUGGGAAGGCACAGACAGCCAGGAUGUUGGCUUAGAAGCAGCCAUCAUUUAAAGAAAGCGUAAUAGCUCACUGGUCGAGUCGGCCUGCGCGGAAGAUGUAACGGGGCUAAACCAUGCACCGAAGCUGCGGCAGCGACGCUUAUGCGUUGUUGGGUAGGGGAGCGUUCUGUAAGCCGUUGAAGGUGUGCUGUGAGGCAUGCUGGAGGUAUCAGAAGUGCGAAUGCUGACAUAAGUAACGAUAAAGCGGGUGAAAAGCCCGCUCGCCGGAAGACCAAGGGUUCCUGUCCAACGUUAAUCGGGGCAGGGUGAGUCGACCCCUAAGGCGAGGCCGAAAGGCGUAGUCGAUGGGAAACAGGUUAAUAUUCCUGUACUUGGUGUUACUGCGAAGGGGGGACGGAGAAGGCUAUGUCAGCCGGGCGACGGUUGUCCCGGUUUAAGCGUGUAGGUGUGUGUUCCAGGCAAAUCCGGUUCACUUUAACACUGAGGCGUGAUGACGAGGCACUACGGUGCUGAAGUGAUAAAUGCCCUGCUUCCAGGAAAAGCCUCUAAGCAUCAGGUAACACGAAAUCGUACCCCAAACCGACACAGGUGGUCAGGUAGAGAAUACCAAGGCGCUUGAGAGAACUCGGGUGAAGGAACUAGGCAAAAUGGUGCCGUAACUUCGGGAGAAGGCACGCUGAUAUGUAGGUGAAGUCCCUGCGGACGGAGCUGAAAUCAGUCGAAGAUACCAGCUGGCUGCAACUGUUUAUUAAAAACACAGCACUGUGCAAACACGAAAGUGGACGUAUACGGUGUGACGCCUGCCCGGUGCCGGAAGGUUAAUUGAUGGGGUUAGCGGCAACGCGAAGCUCUUGAUCGAAGCCCCGGUAAACGGCGGCCGUAACUAUAACGGUCCUAAGGUAGCGAAAUUCCUUGUCGGGUAAGUUCCGACCUGCACGAAUGGCGUAAUGAUGGCCAGGCUGUCUCCACCCGAGACUCAGUGAAAUUGAACUCGCUGUGAAGAUGCAGUGUACCCGCGGCAAGACGGAAAGACCCCGUGAACCUUUACUAUAGCUUGACACUGAACACUGGUCCUUGAUGUGUAGGAUAGGUGGGAGGCUUUGAAGCGUGGACGCCAGUCUGCGUGGAGCCGUCCUUGAAAUACCACCCUUUAAUGGCUGGUGUUCUAACGUGGACCCGUAAUCCGGGUUGCGGACAGUGUCUGGUGGGUAGUUUGACUGGGGCGGUCUCCUCCCAAAGAGUAACGGAGGAGCACGAAGGUUAGCUAAUCCUGGUCGGACAUCAGGAGGUUAGUGCAAUGGCAUAAGCUAGCUUGACUGCGAGAGUGACGGCUCGAGCAGGUGCGAAAGCAGGUCAUAGUGAUCCGGUGGUUCUGAAUGGAAGGGCCAUCGCUCAACGGAUAAAAGGUACUCCGGGGAUAACAGGCUGAUACCGCCCAAGAGUUCAUAUCGACGGCGGUGUUUGGCACCUCGAUGUCGGCUCAUCACAUCCUGGGGCUGAAGUAGGUCCCAAGGGUAUGGCUGUUCGCCAUUUAAAGUGGUACGCGAGCUGGGUUUAGAACGUCGUGAGACAGUUCGGUCCCUAUCUGCCGUGGGCGCUGGAGAAUUGAGGGGGGCUGCUCCUAGUACGAGAGGACCGGAGUGGACGCAUCACUGGUGUUCGGGUUGUCAUGCCAAUGGCACUGCCCGGUAGCUAAAUGCGGAAGAGAUAAGUGCUGAAAGCAUCUAAGCACGAAACUUGCCCCGAGAUGAGUUCUCCCUGAGACUUUAAGUCUCCUGAAGGAACGUUGAAGACGACGACGUUGAUAGGCCGGGUGUGUAAGCGCAGCGAUGCGUUGAGCUAACCGGUACUAAUGAACCGUGAGGCUUAACCUU